rnacentral:rRNA from 1 species
UACGAAGGGGGGCUAGCGUUGCUCGGAAUUACUGGGCGUAAAGCGCACGUAGGCGGCUUGUUAAGUCAGGGGGUGAAAUCCUGGAGCUCAACUCCAGAACUGCCUUUGAUACUGGCGAGCUUGAGUUCGGGAGAGGUGAGUGGAACUGCGAGUGUAGAGGUGAAAUUCGUAGAUAUUCGCAAGAACACCAGUGGCGAAGGCGGCUCACUGGCUCGAUACUGACGCUGAGGAGCGAAAGCGUGGGUAGCAAACAGG